rnacentral:rRNA from 1 species
GACGAACGCUUGCGGCGUGCCUAAGAAAUGCAAGUCGAGCGAGGUUAGGGAGCUUGCUUCCGAAGCCUAGCGGCGAACGGUCGCGUAACACGUAAGCAACCUGCCCUGAAGAGGGGGAUAGCCCGCCGAAAGGCGGAUUAAUACCGCAUGUGAACAUUUUUCCGCAUGAGAGGAUGUUUAAAGCAGAGAUGCGCUUCAGGAUGGGCUUGCGGCCUAUCAGCUAGUUGGUGAGGUAACGGCCCACCAAGGCGACGACGGGUAGCUGGUCUGAGAGGAUGGUCAGCCGGACUGGGACUGAGAUACGGCCCAGACUCCUACGGGGGGCAGCAAUUAGGAAUCUUGCACAAUGGGCGAAAGCCUGAUGCAGCGACGCCGCGUGAAGGAUGACGGCCUUCGGGUUGUAAACUUCUUUUAUCAGGGAAGAAGAAAGUGACGGUACCCGAUGAAUAAGCCCCGGCUAACUACGUGCCAGCAGCCGCGGUAAUACGUAGGGGGCGAGCGUUGUCCGAAGUUACUGGGCGUAAAGCGCGCGUAGGCGGACCUUUAAGUGGAGGGUGAAAUCUCAAGGCUUAACCUUGAAACUGCCUUCCAAACUGGAGGACUUGAGGUAUGGAGAGGGAAGUGGAAUUCCUGGUGUAGCGGUGAAAUGCGUAGAUAUCAGGAGGAACACCCGUGGCGAAGGCGGCUUCCUGGCCAUAUCCUGACGCUGAGGUGCGAAAGCUAGGGGAGCGAACGGGAUUAGAUACCCCGGUAGUCCUAGCCGUAAACGAUGGAUACUAGGUGUUAGAGGUAUCGACCCCUCUAGUGCCGCAGCUAACGCAAUAAGUAUCCCGCCUGGGGAGUACGGCCGCAAGGUUG